UACGUAGGGCGCAAGCGUUGUCCGGAAUUAUUGGGCGUAAAGAGCUCGUAGGCGGCUUGUCACGUCGAUUGUGAAAGCUCGGGGCUUAACCCCGAGUCUGCAGUCGAUACGGGCUAGCUAGAGUGUGGUAGGGGAGAUCGGAAUUCCUGGUGUAGCGGUGAAAAUGCGCAGAUAUCAGGAGGAACACCGGUGGCGAAGGCGGAUCUCUGGGCCAUUACUGACGCUGAGGAGCGAAAGCGUGGGGAGCGAACAGG
rnacentral:rRNA from 1 species